AUUGAACGCUGGCGGCAGGCCUAACACAUGCAAGUCGAACGGUAGCACAGAGAGCUUGCUCUCGGGUGACGAGUGGCGGACGGGUGAGUAAUGUCUGGGAAACUGCCUGAUGGAGGGGGAUAACUACUGGAAACGGUAGCUAAUACCGCAUAACGUCGCAAGACCAAAGAGGGGGACCUUCGGGCCUCUUGCCAUCAGAUGUGCCCAGAUGGGAUUAGCUAGUAGGUGGGGUAACGGCUCACCUAGGCGACGAUCCCUAGCUGGUCUGAGAGGAUGACCAGCCACACUGGAACUGAGACACGGUCCAGACUCCUACGGGAGGCAGCAGUGGGGAAUAUUGCACAAUGGGCACAAGCCUGAUGCAGCCAUGCCGCGUGUAUGAAGAAGGCCUUCGGGUUGUAAAGUACUUUCAGCGGGGAGGAAGGCGAUACGGUUAAUAACCGUGUUGAUUGACGUUACCCGCAGAAGAAGCACCGGCUAACUCCGUGCCAGCCGCCGCAGUAA
rnacentral:rRNA from 1 species